UCCUCCCUCUUCCCUCGUGCUUAACACAUGCAAGUCGAACGCUGAAGCUCAGCUUUUGUUGGGUGGAUGAGUGGCGAACGGGUGAGUAACACGUGAGUAACCUGCCUCCUUCUUUGGGAUAACGCCCGGAAACGGGUGCUAAUACUGGAUAUUCACUGGUCUUCGCAUGGGGGUUGGUGGAAAGGGUUUUUCUGGUGGGGGAUGGGCUCGCGGCCUAUCAGCUUGUUGGUGGGGUGAUGGCCUACCAAGGCUUUGACGGGUAGCCGGCCUGAGAGGGUGACCGGUCACAUUGGGACUGAGAUACGGCCCAGACUCCUACGGGAGGCAGCAGUGGGGAAUAUUGCACAAUGGGCGCAAGCCUGAUGCAGCGACGCCGCGUGAGGGAUGGAGGCCUUCGGGUUGUGAACCUCUUUCGCUCAUGGUCAAGCCGCAACAAUGGUUGUGGUGAGGGUAGUGGGUAAAGAAGCGCCGGCUAACUACGUG
rnacentral:rRNA from 1 species